UGGAUUUAGGGUUUUGGGUGUUGGUUUUUUUUUUUGGGGGGUGGGGGUGGGGGUGAGUAUAUAAAUCCGUACCGAAGGUUGGCGGUUGAAUGCCAGGAGCCCGAUCCUCAGCUCCGGUGGGUGCCACGGGCACACAGGAGGGGUGCCCGUGUCUCCUUCCCACUAGAAAGGAAGGGGGUCAGAGACCCCUUCCUUCCCCCCCCCCCCAAAAAAAAACCCAAACAAACCCUUUUGAGCAUCGCCCAAUGAGGAGAUCUGUCACUCAAGCCAUUUAUUUCAUCCAAUACAACUAUCCAUCACAGUGCGCUGGAACCGACCUGCGAUCCGAGGAUAUUCUUAGAUACGCAGCAUGUCAGGAAACAGCUAUCAGCCCCGCAUGAUGCAAAUAUUUGGAUGACCGAGAGGUUUCUGGCCAGCAACACCAAUGGCGGUCACGGCCAACCCGUUAAUUCGAUGUCAUGCAUAGGGGCUUUAACUAUGCAUGAGCCAUGUGCAUGCGGGAGGAGGGAGGACAUCCCUGACCGCGCUGCAGGACUGAGUUGUGGGUUGGAGACAGGACAUCCCGCAUCUCAAGGGUAAAAGGCUACAACAAAUCCCUUGCAAUGUUCUAGGGCAUGAUACGGCGGCAGAGCCCAGACCCAGAGGGGAGCAGGGGCAGCGGGAUGCCUGCGGCCUGCCCAGCCACGGGACCUGUGCUGGGGCCGAGGGCUGAGCCCGUUUGGGGAGGAAGGUGCAUUUCUUGAAACUGUGUGAUCUGACUGUCAGCUGGAAAGGAAAAAGGUUUGUCAAAACUGCCCAGCUCCUUGAGCAGAUCCAUGCCAGGAAAGUCCUACACCCGUGAGCCAGCCAUGGCUUUAGAACGAGCUCUGAAGCAACGCAGAGAUGAAAGAUACCCAAGUCUUGGUUUGGUCUGUUGUGCUGGCAGCACCUCUGAACACCCCUGUGUCUUGGGGCCCUGCUGGGAGGACGCACCAGGAGAUACGCCAGGUUUCAGCCACUCUGGUGGUGCUUCCAGACUCGUUGGAAGCUGAGGCCCCAGGGGACCACAGCAGCACCAGAACUGGAGCCAUAGAAGACCAUUUUCCUGCAGUCCUGCCACCGGAUCAGGCCCAUAGCCCAGGGCAGCCAACAGUUGGGUGUUUUAUUAGGGUUUGGUAUCUUCCCCUGAAAUGCAGAAGACAUUAGUAGUAGGUGUACUUGAUGACUCGUUUUAUUGUGUCGUUUGAUUGAUUUGAAGAAAUGAGCACAGGAUUUUCCAAAACGGAACUGGGGGAAGGCGUGUCAUCCUCCAGAAGCAAUUCCCCUCUCCCCCGAGAAGUGAUAUUCCCCAUGAGCUGCAAGGACAGGAAUUUCCAAAACUAUUGUUCAAAACCAUGACAAUUCCAUCCUCAUUAUAACUUUUUUCCUUUUCCCACCCCUCCAAGAGCAAGGCAAAGAAAUAAUUACCUAUUCCAGCACACCACAAAGCAGAUUUCUCAGCUUGCAUAAAUCAGCGUAACUCCACUGAUGCCAUGGAGGCACGCCUAUUCAGCAAUCUGGUCUCCUAUUUCUUAUAUCUUGGAUUUUGGCAGGCUUCGCUGGCCGAGGAUGAGGAAGGCUCCAGCAAAACACAAACUACCUGUUUGCCUGACAUCCCCCAUCCCAUUGGACAAACCGAUGUCACAGGACCACGUGCAUCGGAAACACGGCUGAUGAAGCGCAAAGGAAAAUAUCAUCUUCCGCUGUGUGCGCACGGUUGUAAUUCUUCCAAAAGCUUUGCUUAAAAAACAUUUUUCCACCUGUAAUAAGAGAGGCUGUCUUGCUUUGCCUGGGCUCUGGAAGUGCGUGCUGACAGGCUGUGUGUAAUGUCAUCUCCCUGCUCUAAACCCCGUUCCAAGCUCGGAAAUCCAGCGGGAUGGAUGGAGGGCUGCUCCGGUGCAAGGGGGAGGAAGGUUAUUAAAUAAGUUUUUUUAAGGGGGUUGGUUUUGGUCCUAACCUCACAAAUAGGUUGACACAGAUGAUUAAUAAUCCACAUGAUUUAAGGUCAAGUAGUCCGUCAGACCAGCAAAUAAAUAUCUGUGGUCACUUGGUGCCCAGUUCACCAUCUACCCACAGCAAACUCUGCACUCACUUCACAUAAUGUCCAAGCUUAUGCUUCAAACAUAUCUGUAAUUGAUAUAUAUUAUCAAAUUAAUACUCACAACCUAUUUGGGUCCAAAAAUAAGAUGAAUUAAAG